rnacentral:rRNA from 1 species
UGAAGCAUGGGUAAGACCUUGUGGAGGACCGAACCAGUACAUGUUGAAAAAUGUUUGGAUGAGUUGUGAAUAGGGGUGAAAGGCCAAUCAAACUUGGAGAUAUCUUGUUCUCUCCGAAAUAACUUUAGGGUUAGCCUCGGAUAUUAAGCUUUUGGGGGUAGAGCACUGAAUUCUAGCGGGGGCCUACCGGCUUACCAACGGAAAUCAAACUCCGAAUACCAAAAGCGAGUCCGGGAGAUAGACAGCGGGGGCUAAGCUUCGUUGUCGAGAGGGGAACAGCCCAGACCGCCGAUUAAGGUCCCAAAUUUUAUGCUAAGUGAGUAAGGAAGUGAUGAUUCUAAGACAGUUGGAAUGUUGGCUUAGAGGCAGCAAUCAUUUAAAGAGUGCGUAACAGCUCACCAAUCGAGAAUCAUUGCGCCAAUAAUAAUCGGGGCUCAAGCAUAAAACCGAAAUCGCGGGUGUAUAUUUAUAUAUACGCGGUAGGAGAGCGUAGUAUUCAGCAGUGAAGGUAUACCGUAAGGAGUGCUGGAGCGGAUACUAGUGAAGAUCCAUGGCAUAAGUAACGAUAAAGGAAGUGAAAAUCUUCCUCGCCGUAAGCACAAGGUUUCCAGGGUCAAGCUCGUCUUCCCUGGGUUAGUCGGCCCCUAAGUCGAGGCACAAAUGCGUAGACGAUGGAGCAACAGGUUAAAUAUUCCUGUACCACCUAAAACUUUAGCAAUGGAAUGACGGAGUACGUUAAGCACGCGGACGAUUGGAAAUGUCCGUAUCACAAUGAGACCGGUUAGUAGGCAAAUCCGCUAACAUAAGGUUAGGUUGUGGUUAAGGGAAAUCUUCGGAGGAACUGAUAGUGUGGCGCAAGGCUUUCAAGAAAUAAUUUCUAGCUGUUGAUGGUGACCGUACCUAAACCGACACAGGUGUGCGAGAUGAGUAUUCUAAGGCGCGCGAGAUAACUUUCGUUAAGGAACUCGGCAAAUUAUCCCCGUAACUUCGGAAGAAGGGGAGCCUCUUAGGGUGAUUGCCUUUACGGCAUGAGCUCCGGGGGGCCGCAGAGAAAUGGCCCAGGCGACUGUUUAACAAAAACACAGCACUAUGCAAACCUCUAAGGGGAAGUAUAUGGUGUGACGCCUGCCCAAUGCCAAAAGGUUAAAGGGAUAUGUCAGCCGCAAGGCAAAGCAUUGAACCCAAGCCCUGGUGAAUGGCCGCCGUAACUAUAACGGUGCUAAGGUAGCGAAAUUCCUUGUCGGGUAAGUUCCGACCUGCACGAAUGGUGUAACGAUCUGGGCACUGUCUCAACGAAAGACUCGGUGAAAUUGUAGUAGCAGUGAAGAUGCUGUUUACCCGCAAAAGGACGAAAAGACCCCGUGAACCUUUACUGUACUUUGGUAUUGAUUCUUGAUUUGUUAUGUGUAGCAUAGCCAGGAGACUGAGAACACUCUUCGUCAGGAGAGUGGGAGUCAUCGUUGAAAUACUGGUCUUAACAAGUUGGGAAUCUAACAUAAUUCCAUGAAUCUGGAAUAUGGACAUUGCCAGACGGGCAGUUUUACUGGGGCGGUAUCCUCCUAAAAAGUAACGGAGGAGCCCAAAGCUUAUUUCAUCGUGGUUGGCAAUCACGAGUAGAGCGUAAAGGUAUAAAAUAGGUUGACUGCAAGACCUACAAGUCAAGCAGAGACGAAAGUCGGGCUUAGUGAUCCGGCGGUGGAAAGUGGAAUCGCCGUCGCUUAACGGAUAAAAGGUACUCCGGGGAUAACAGGCUGAUCGCCACCAAGAGUUCAUAUCGACGUGGCGGUUUGGCACCUCGAUGUCGGCUCAUCGCAUCCUGGGGCUGGAGAAGGUCCCAAGGGUUUGGCUGUUCGCCAAUUAAAGCGGUACGCGAGCUGGGUUCAAAACGUCGUGAGACAGUUUGGUCUCUAUCCUUUGUGGGCGCAGGAUACUUGAAAGGAGCUGUUCCUAGUACGAGAGGACCGGAAUGGACGAACCAAUGGUGUGUCGGUUGUUUUGCCAAAAGCAUAGCCG